ACUGACGGCUGAUGCACGAAAGCCGUGGGGAUCGAUACAGGAUUAGAUACCCUGGUAGUCCACGCCGUAAACGAUGAUCACUAGCUGUUGGCGAUACACCGAUCAGCGGCAAAGCAAAAGCAUUAAGUGAUCCACCUGGGGAGUACGGCCGCAAGGCUGAAACUCAAAGGAAUUGACGGGGGCCCGCACAAGCGGAGGAACAUGUGGUUUAAUUCGAUGAUACGCGAGGAACCUUACCUGGGCUUAAAUGUAGAGUGCAUUGAGAGGAAACUUUCAUUUUCUUCGGAACUCUUUACAAGGUGCUGCAUGGUUGUCGUCAGCUCGUGCCGUGAGGUGUCGGGUUAAGUCCCAUAACGAGCGCAACCCUUAUCGUUAGUUGCCAGCGGGUAAUGCCGGGAACUCUAGCGAAACUGCCGGUGUAAACCGAGAGGAAGGUGGGGAUGACGUCAAAUCAGCACGGCCCUUAUGUCCAGGGCUACACACGUGUUACAAUGGCCGGUACAGAGGGCAGCUACCUGGAGACAGGAUGCGAAUCUCGAAAGCCGGUCUCAGUUCGGAUCGGAGUCUGCAACCCGACUCCGUGAAGCUGGAUUCGCUAGUAAUCGCGCAUCAGCCAUGGCGCGGUGAAUACGUUCCCGGGCCUUGUACACACCGCCCGU
rnacentral:rRNA from 1 species